GGCCACUUCCCCAACACCACCAGCUUUGCAGCCACAGGAAGUGCUCUGUUCGCUUCCGUUUUUUGGGCCAAAUUCAACGAAGUUCUUGAUUCUCCUUCUCCCUCCUUUAGCCUGUUCCAGUCUUUGGUGCUACAAUUCCUGAAGCUUCACUCCUCUGAUUUGAUCACCAAUCGCAGUCAGCUAUUACUCUUCGUCAAGGUAAAUCCACAUACUCUGUUUCUGUUCAAGGUCAAGACCAAGUACUCAAUUCCGCCAGCGUGAAAUCUGGUCGCGUUUGAGGCUUUCCUGAUGACUUUCAGCAUGCUACGUUGCUUCUUUGUGAUAACACCUUUCUCUUAUUCUGCAUCUAGAUCCUUUGACAGAAAUAUCUACCACCUGUUUGAUAAAAUUCCUGAACUAGAUCAGUGUGUGCUUCAAUUUAGAUUCUGACUGAGAGCUUCCCUUUGCUUGAUCGAUACAUUAGUUUUGUUGUAUAGACUUUACUUGUAUUUCGUUUCCUUUCAUUUCAGAAUAUAGUAGCUAUUCGUUUUAGGAUUUGUUAUUGAAAUUCUUGGAUUAGAUGCAUAUCCAGUGUGUACAUCCGAUGAAUCUGAUAACUAAGUAUUCUGGAACUUAGACAGGCAAUCUUGAACGAAAAUGAACUGAUCCAUGCACAUUUACUUCUUAUGCUUCACAAUAUGUUGAUCUAUGUUUGCUGUGUCCAAUUGCAAACACAUUAUGAAAAAAUAUUUCGGGUUUUUUUUUUUUUUUCUGUAUGUGUUGAAAUUGCAAGCGUAUUGAACGAAUGCUAAUAUCUUGAAUCCUGAGUGCAUGUUGCCAGAGCAUUGAGCUGCUACUCUAGCCAUCGUAUACGCAUUCAUUUUGGGUGGCCAGUGUUACAGACUGGUUCAUCUUCGUAUGUGUUGAGUUGCUGAUGUGCUCACUGUCUUGUGUUCGUACCGAUGUGUUGUAUCAUGGAUUAUGUCUAGUCUGUGCGUGCUUGCUGCUCGUAUGUCCUGGUAUAUGUAACUGUGUCAUUGAUGUGCUGUUCGUUGAUGCCAUAUACUUGCUGUCCAGAUUUCCUAAUUCAUUUUUUUUGCUGUUCUAUUAUUGUAGCCUAGUGUCGUGACCGAAGAAUUCAGAGUUGUAAUGGCCCAGCCUGAGGAGAUCAUUGGUCAUAUGGUUUUUACGUUCUUUUUGUUUCGUGAAAAAUAAAUUAUUUGAAAGUUAUUUUCUUAAAAAAUUUUGUGCGUCUCAAGACAUUUAGGGGAAGGAAUAAAAUUUUUCUUGUAGAAAGUAGGUCAUUAGCUACAUUUCGUAUGUGAAAUUUUAAUUUAAGAUAUUGUUUUCUGAAAAUUUUUCACCAAAUAAAUGUCUUGUGUAGCAAAAUCUUUUUCGUUCAAACAAUCAUAAAAGGAAAAUACAAUAUGAUUUAUUCAUAUCCGCUCAUCUUACCUAUGAUAUUUUGAAAUUUGACCCAUUUCGAAAUAUAUGAAAUGAUUAUUUCAUCAAUGCACUAAUAGUUAAUUUAUUCUGAAUUGAUCACUUAUGAGUUAAUUAAUCUAUUGUGUGAGGCCGUAAAUGGUUAAAAUGUGAAAGACUAGAGAAUUCAAUCAGGGAUUGACCGUUCGACCAUAAUGAUCGAUAAGGAUCAAUAUUACACUAUUAUAAGUUAAUUAGCGAACAAAUAUAAAUCGAUUUGACAGGAGUACAUAAUCGAUUCGCGAGUGAUUCCGCAUAAUUACGAUACUCUCUACGAACAACGAUAAAUAGAUUUUCUAUUGAUUUUGUACUUAGGGUACGUAAUUGAAUCAUCACGAUUAUAUGACAAUCAAGGAUCAUCCACGAUUCAAAGAGGCACAAACGUAGAUCGAAAAUUAUCAACCAUGGAUCAAAUGCGCGAAAACCCCUAAAAGCUAUACAAUAGUUUAGGUCGUACUAAAGUCGCAUUUGAUCGAUUUUAACCAUGUAAUUUAAUUGGAUUUCAGAAAUCGAACCUUCGAGGAUUUUAAGACUAACUUACUGGACAUCCCCUUAUUCGUCCAUCAAUUUAUUGGUAGGCUGUAAAUUUUCGGAAAAAGGUCCAAUCGGAUGAGAAUUGGAAGCUAGAAAAUGAACCAGACCUAAUGGCAAAAUUGUAAAUUUUGCCCAAAAAGUUGACUUUUAAGGAAAAAAAAAAAGGAAAACCUUACCAAAAAAAUUACUUUCUCUUUACCAAAAAACAAAAAAACAAAAAGGAAAUAAAUGAAGGGAGAAGAGGGUUUUAGGCGUUUAUGUUGGAUUUUCAUCAUGAAAUUUUAGGGAAAAUCUAAACAAAUAUCUCUCUCUCUCUCCUUCCCCUUCUGCCCACCUCACCCAUUCUGUCUUCCCUCACUCUUUCUUGCCCCUAAGUUGGGCCGAACCUCCUCAACCUCCAUCUCCCUCAUUUCUUCAUCUUUUUCUUCUUUCUUUUUUCCUCAUUUAUCACAUCAAUGCCGCCCCUUGCUGCCCUUUUGCUGCGCUGUCACCGCCGUAAGCUGCCACCCGCCGCCCAAGCCAAGACACCACCGCAAGCCACCUUCAUCACCACCAUCGAGCACCCCCCCCUAGGUGGCCGUGGGCCUUAAGAGCUGAACCGCCGUCGUUUGUACUGCCAUUCAAGCCUCUCAAGCCCUGUGUCCUUGAUGCCAUCACGUUGCCGUCGCUAUGAACUCGUUGCCUCCGAAAAACCGUGAGUUAACUUCCUAAUCAUGGAUUAAGGUGUUAAUUGUGUUUAGGGAUAGGAUUAAAUUAAGGCUUGUGAAUUAGUCUUAAUUAAGGAUGGUUAGGUUAAUUAAUUAUAGUUAUUUUAAAGUAACCUUCGUUAGGUUAAUUAACCGUAAUUUUUUUAAAUUAACCGUAGUUAGUUUAAAUUAGCUAUGGUUAGUGUAAUUAAGCAUAGUUAGUUUAAUUAAUUGCAGUUAAUCUUAGUUAAUCAUAGUUAGAUUAAUUAACAACGAUUAGUCUUGAGUAAUUAUAGUUGUAUUGAUUAAUGACAAUUAGCCUUAAUUUAUUGUGGUUAGUGUAAUUAAUCAUUGUUAGAUUAAUUAAUCACAUCUAGCACUACUUAAUCAUGAUUAGUGAAAUUUAAUGACGGAUUAGUCGUUAAGCAGAAUUUUAUGCUUAAUUUACUGGAUGAAUUUGUGCAUAAUUCCGAUUGUUUGAGCUUGUCAUGUUAUAUUAUUGAUUGCCCCAAAUUAUAAUCCUUAAUUACUAUAUUUAAAGAUGGUUUUAUUGGCAAAAAAAUGGAAAAUUUGAGGUUUCGUGUUUGGACGUCAUGUUUUACGUGUUAAAUGGGGCAGUGGGGUUUAAAAUGAACGUGUAUAAAAUUUGGCGGAUUAAUUUUAAGUACGUGACCACGUGCUAAUAUUAGACUACAAUUUUUAGUGUGUCGUAUUUGGACGCCAUGUUUUACGUGUUAAAUGGGGCAGUGGGGUUUUAAAAUGAACGUGUGCAAAAUUUAGCGGAUUAAUUCUAAGUACGUGACCACGUGCAAAAAUUUCCAAUAUUUGUUGUUUGAGCACGAAAACUUUUGUAUCGGGCUAAUUGAUGGCAAAUAAAAUUGGCUUGAGUGUUGGCGGGCUUGAGUGGUCAUUUAAUUGAACUCAUCGGGAGUUGGGGGAGAUGCCUAAUUUUUAUCGGAUGCCUAGUGGGUGUUCAGAUGCUAAGUUGCAGUUGAGGCUAGACGGAUGCUCCUUUAUGGAAUACCAUCUAGGCAGGAGUUCUAGACGAUGCUGUAUCUGAUAGGGCAGGAUGAUAUCUGGUCAUGUCGGAAGACUACCAACCCUUGUGGUGGCUAUGGCCCAAGGGGUUGUAAUAAUUGGAAUAUGUGUGUUAGCAAUGCGUUCUAAUUAUUUGGUAUGCUUAAAUGCAUUGAUAUUGACAUAUGCGAUCUACUAAUAUGCAAGGAUAUGCCAAGGCGAGGUAAGAUUAUAUGCUGUUGCAUGUUUAGGUUACCUCCGAGGCGAAUUAGCAUCCUAAUCGAGGUUUAGGAGAUUGAUUGCUGAGAUUUAUCUCACCCCAUUGUUGUUAAAUAUUUUCAGGCCCAUAGUAUGGAAAACUGUCACGUGCGGUUCGGGGUCUUGAUGGACCAAGACGUGGGUGUACCUGGCAUCACUUUUGGUUGGCCUCAUCAUUAGUGAAGUUUAUGUUAAUCCUGAUCCUACAAGUUUUUGAGAUGGUUGGUAUGAAGUGUCCGUGAAAAGGCUUGUAAUUACUAAAUUUCAUAGGGUUAACAGUUUAUAAAUGAAAGUGCUGCUUUUGGGAAUCUUGCUAUUUUUAUACUAUCCCUUUUUGUUUAUGAUUGACUGGGUGUUGUUUAUAUUAAAUGCUUCUGCUUGCGUUUAAUCAAAAGAUAAAAGAGAAUGGGUUGACGACACAUCCUGGGACAUCGCAACUAAUCGACUAUUGUGGGAUGUUUGCAUUCGCCGGGGUUCGGGGCGUGACAUUACCAAUAAAGAAAUGAAGUACAUUGCAGAGAUAUGCAUGGGCUGUAUAGUAAACGUCUUUUGUUGACAUAUACCAUGCAAAGAAAAAAUUAUGACGGGUUUUUUUUUUUUUUCAAUUUUCAAUGAUAAUAGCGACCAAAGAGAGUUGGCAAGAGUCACAAGACCAUUGGUUAACGUUUAUUCCCGAAGUCAUUAUAUUAGCCACAUGGCUCGUAAUAGAAAGGUAUUAAUAAGUAUUUUACUAGCAUUUAAUUUUUUUUUAAUGCUGAAAACAUGUUUGAAACUUUUUUUGUUAUAAGCAUUCCUAUAGAUGUUUGAGGAACUCAACAGUGAAGAAAGUAGAAACAAACUUGUAACAUCGAUUACAAGCAUAUAAGCGUAAUACUUCUUAUAAUUUCUAGUGCAUUGAAAAUGGUUCUUUUUGGAAGGUAAACUAGUAGAGCAAUUACAUAUCUUAGUAAUUAAAGGUCAAAAUUGUUAAAAAUGAAAANNNNNNNNNNNNNNNNNNNNNNNNNNNNNNNNNNNNNNNNNNNNNNNNNNNNNNNNNNNNNNNNNNNNNNNNNNNNNNNNNNNNNNNNNNNNNNNNNNNNCCGGAAAGGAGGUGUCGUUGAGGAUGAAAAUGAAACCAUAAACUCCAAUUUACGUGGGAAACACAAAUUAUUAUAAUAUUUAAAUAAUAAACCACACAUUAAUCAAGUAGCAUAAGUUUUCAGAAUAAUUUGCCAUGCUCCUGCAAAAUUCAAUACGAUAUCAAAACAGGAAGUCCUGAGUUCAAAUUCUUCCCAAUCCCUUAUUUGCCUCCUCUGUUAUUUAUUUCCUCUCUUUAGUCUUAGACCAAACUCUAACUUACGUGUGAGGAGGAGUUUUAGAAUAGCAAAGGGAUGCAUUUAUUUAUUAGUUUAAGUUUUAUAUUAGAAUAAUUGAUAGUAGUUCCACAGAAAUUUACGAAGGUAUAAAAUAAUUUGUUGCAAAUACUGAUAAAUAACAAUAUACUCGUACAUGUAGAUAAAUAUAUCACUUUAUUAAAAAAACGAAUAUUAAGCUCGAAAUACUGAUUAAGUACCAUAAAUAGAACUAACACCUCAUUUCAGCUUAGGGAUGGCAAUUUUACCCAACGUACCGAAUACCCGCGCUAUGUCAACUAAAAUGGGGUGGAUAAGACCAGCAAACGUGGAGAUUUGUAGUAUUAACCUUGCUCCUUUGUAUAAAUUGUAUUACUUUGCUAACAUAAAGUUUCUUAUUUUCAACAUAGAUUUUAUAACAUGAAUGCUUCCAAUACUUCAUCCCCUUUUCUCAUCAAUUUAUCACGGCAAAUUUUCAAACUAAAUUAUAUGCUAAAGGUAAAGGAUCUAAGAAUCACAAAUUCGUUUUUUUUCGCAUAAAUGAUUAUUUCAACUCGUAAAUUGUUUUGAGAGGCUCGUUGAAGAAAUAAUAAUUUUUAAUCUUGAAGUUAUUAUCAAGUAGGGCGAGUGUAACGGGGAAAUCUGCAUUCUUGCUUGGGAUUGCAGAUGGAGCUCAUAGAUGUCCCCGCGCAGGACAUGGGCCGAUGAUAGGGCAUCUCUAAGAAUAGUGGAGCCAGGAUGCAAUCCUCCGCAUCCGCUUUGCAAUUGUGCACCUGCCAGUCCCUUUGCCACCCCUAAUUCACAUGCAAUACUAUUGUUCGUUGUAGCUAAUAAAUUAUAAAUAGAAGUAUUAAUACAGUAAUUAUAGCAGAGACCAAUAGAGAAAAAGGAAAAUUUUCCACAUACGGCUUUAUACACUGUUGAUUUUGAUGGUUAAUGAAGAUAAUAAGCAGUUAAAACUCUUACAACAAUGCUGGAUAAGACUAUUUGAGAAAAAGAAAAUUUGCAACUCACCUUGCUUGCGCUAAUAUUCCAUAUUAGGCUCCGUUCGUUUCGCAAAAAAUAAUUUUCAGAAAAACGUUUUCCGGAUUUUCCGACGUUUAUUUCACGUAAAAUGAAUUCCUUAGGAAAAUGUUUUCCAUGAAAGGAAAAAAGUUUUCUAAAUUAGGGGAAAAUAUUUUCCACCUCAUUUGGUCUUUUUUAUCUCAUACCUCUACAAAUCCUCACUUCCUCCUCCUCUUUCUUCUUCUUCUUUUAUUUAUUUAUUCGAAUUAUUUUUUAAUUUUCUUUUUCUUUUUUAAUUCGAAUUAUUUUUAAUUUCCUUUUUCUUUUUUAUUUAUUUUAUUUCUUUUUAUUUUCUUUGUUUCCCAUCUUCUUCUUUCUUGGCUAGUCGUUGGCCGUCACUAGGUGAACCUCAAGCUCGUCGAUCUCAAGCUCGCGCUUGUCGAUCUGGCGAGCCUCGAGCUUGACGCUCGUGCUCGUCAAUCUGAUAAGCGGAAAAUAUUUUCCUUACCUAACACCGGAAAAUAUUUUCCGAAACAUUUUCAGGUUUUAGCCGAACAUUAGAAAAUAUUGUUAUUUUCAUGGAAAUAACUUCUAGAAAAAUAUUUUUCGGAAAUAGCUCAUUUUCCACUAAACGAACGGGCCCUUAAUGAUAUAACUACUUAUCAAGAGAAGAGUGAAAAGACCAAAUAGCACCUCAUUCGCAAGCAUUAUUAGCGUAAGCAAUUUAGGCGCUAAACUGGGAAAAGAGUGAACCUAAGGCGAUCAAAAUUAUAUAAUAUAUAAAUGCUCUCUGGCAAGAUCCUACGCACCCAAGUCGGUAUGGAGUUCAACUCCACCGGAGCACCUUCAGAUAGAAAAAGAGCAGGCGGACGUCUAUGAUCUUAUGAGUCGUCCGUAUCAACUGCAUUCGAGUAGAAAAUCGGUCGAAGUGCUGAAAUUUGCAUAGCAAUCUCUCCCGGAGGUCGAGCCUAGCUCCGCUGAGAAAGUGAAACGGCAUAACAGAUAAUGCUCUCGAGAGACACGGGGGAAGUGAACGGAUCAUCCCCUCCGUCAUUUUCUUAUCUAUCGGAUAUGCUUUCAGCCAAGGUCUCUUGAUUCUGUGUUGUGUUCUCUACAGCUGAAUCAAAUCGUCCCCAAGUGCUCUCUGCCCAUGAUUCAAUCCCAUAACAGGAACUUAUACCCACUAUUUUAUCGAGUAAAACUCACUGGUUUUUUCAAUGCACCUUUACGUGCAAUUGAAAAAGAUCAUGAUAAAAACUACUACCAGCGAUUCAUGAAGUGAUAGUAAGGCGAAAUCACACAUUCUAUAGGUUUUGAUAGGACCUGAAGAACGAAGGGUCGGUGAGCUUAGUUUUCCGGGAUUUCGACAUGCAUGGAAACCGACCCUGUGAUUUUGCCGGUAGCGGCAGUGAAAUUCGGUCAUUACAUCAUCCGUGAUGUCUGGCGUUCUCUUCAACUUCGGCGAACCAGAACCGGGAAAGCAUAGUGAGAUGAAAAUCCAGACAUGUGAUCGACUUUGAAACUCAAUCGGAAUAGAAAUGGCCUGGUGGUAAUGAAGCGAAUCAAUGUCUGCCACACGCCUUGGAGGCCAGUGCGAGACUUAGAGGCUCCAAAAUAACAAGACGCGAUUUGGCUUGACUGAAUAGCGCAACUCUGUUGACCUACUAAUCCACAGCGGCAACGAACAAACAGCGAAUUUAUCAACGGGUGAAGAAUGUUCAAGGUAGAAUACUUCGAUUGGCACUCCUACAGCCACGACAACCCAUCUCAGCCUCAGACAAUACUUAGAUCCCAGCGGGGUUUUGCACACGCCAAGCGAUGACGAAUUCUCGUUGCUGCCACUCUCCCCGUUUUCUUUGUGUGUUAUCUUUUACUCGUAUCUACCGUUUCUCUCCAGAUCUGGCUUGGCUGUUGCUUUCCAUCCCAGCGAAUGUUCAGUUUUGAGCAAUAAGCGAUUCUGAGAAGUCGGGCGUUUUAUACUCGCAACAACAGGGCGAACCACAGCAGCGACGCAGAAACAGAGUAGAACAGAGCAGAGCAAUACCACGCCGCCAUGGAGUGAGUCGCCCGCGGAAGACUCAAAUCAAGGAAAAACGCCAAACAGGGAGCUGUCAAUCCGUCUCUGCAAGGGAAGUUAUAGGCGAAAUCAGCGCUUCCAUGGCAGUCUCUGAGGCGUGGGAUGAGCUUCUGGAAAUUCAGGAAUGGAUGAAUAACGGUUUGAACGAGAAGAGCAAGCUCUUGAACGACGAAAAUAGAGGAUCCAAAAACAGAGCCUCUUGGCCAAAACACCGGCGAUCGCCGCCCCAAAUCACCUUCAUCCGACAAAAGAGCUCUGAACAAAAUCGAGCUUCAGCAACGCAUCGAGCUUCCUGGAGAGACAGAAUCGAUCAGCAUAAACCCUAAAGCCCCAGAUCGAUUCCUGUGGAGGAACCGAGAGAGACGCAAAGCAAACGGUGUCGUUCUUGUAACUUCGGCCGCGUCAGAUAAUUGGGCGACCAAAACGGGAUCGUUCGCCGAAGACGGCGUCAUUUCGCUUUCACUUUAGCCCACGUCACAAUCCGUUGCCCUCCUGUUGUCCACGUAAGGAGCCACAUAGAAUUUGUGAGGGUAUUCAUUAACGGAACCAUAAAGAUAGAAAAAGGAUAAAGGUUAAUAAAGGAAGAAGAAGAGCUAUAGAGCUUGCUAAAGAAAUCAAUUUUAAAUUGUCCGAGGAUGGAAAAGCUUGAAUUUAAGUUUUAAUCUACAGUAGAGAUUUUUGUGAUAACAUAAUUUUUAUGUGGAUCUUUGUCAAUUACCAUUUUAACCAUUGUUUAAAGUACAUGGUUAUUGUUCAUUAAUUUUAAGUUUUGGUCGUUCUUGGAAAUUUCAGGCAAAAAUUGAGAAUAGUAUUGGAUUUACUUUAUAAUGUAGAGAUGGUGUACAACCAAAACAAAGAGAUAUUGAUGGUCCCCAACAAGGAUAAUUUAUGAGGGAAAGUUAGAAAAGGCCUUGCGCUUCUUUGCUAAUUAUCUCACAUAGCUAAAAGCGAACUUGGAUCAACCUCUACCAUCUAGAAAUGCAAACUUAACUAAUUUUCGAACCCAUAUUUGGCAAAUUGGUUUUGAGUGGGGAGAUGUUUUCCAUCGAUCCUAAUUAUAAUACAAAAAAAAAAAAAAAAAAGACAAGAAAAAAGAGAGAAGCAAAAUCAGAACAUGCCCUCUCUCUUUCUUCCUUUAUCUCUAACGAUCACUUGAUAUCAUCCUUAAACUCUCAUUAUUGAUUGGAUUUUUAAAUUAUAUUUUUUUUCAUGUUCAUAUUGGCUUUUAUAUUAAAGAAUGAUAGUCAAAUUCUCACCAUAUGUCAUGUUGCCACCUUAUGCCAUUGCUGAGGGUGGCUGGACCCUUGUCUGGCUUAGAACAUUGCGCACUCAAUAGCAUGGUUGCAUAAAGAGUGAGGAAUGUGUACUGUUGGAGGUAAUAGGUUUGAGAAAGAAGAAAUGGUUACUUGAAGUAUUAUACCAAGAGACAUCAAGUUUGGAACGCUCAACAGUGUUACCUUCGGCAUAGGGAAACCCUAGAGUUUUUAUAUGCAAGUUAUUGGGCUCCGGCCCAUAUGGACCCAAAUAACCAUGCUUUUACCUAUUGGGCUUGUAUGUGAACAUAUUAUUUUGGACUAUAUUAAUAAUAUAUCCAACAAUCUCCUCCUAUAUUCACCAUACAACACAAUCUAAUAAGGUGGUCAGUGUAAUGUUCACACAAACAUGAAUCAUCCACAUUCAGUCCAAGACAAUCAACUCGAAUCGGUCAAAGAGUUUUCAAUAGUAAAGUAUUAAACUCAAUCAUCAUAUGCAAUCUAAAUAAGUGAAUCAUUAUUAUCAUGAAUCUAUUCUGAGAUCAAUAAAUCAAAAUAAAUAUUAAGAGUUUUAGAUUCAGUCUAAACUCAUCCAAAUCCCAAAAUAAAUCUCAGACUCAGUUCACAACUAACAUAUGCAUACUAGUCAAGUAAGUAUAAGUAGGCCAUUCAAAAUAGUCCAAGGCCUUACAAGCAUAAUAAUGUUCCCAAAAUAAAAAUAGCAAAAUGUAAGUCUCAAGUAAAUGGACUUCCUCAAAAUAGGCAAUAGCAUGUAAACUGUCAAGUCCCUACACGCUUUAAAUGAUAUAUAUUCAUUCAUCAAGUAGGUCAUCCUGGUCAGGAUCCCACUCAUUAAGCUCUCCUCCAUCUUUGUCAUCCCCUGUAGAAUGUCAAAUAUGAAUUUCAUAUUAUCAUGAAUUCAAUCAUUUGAAUAAAAAUUUAGCAACAUUCCAUCAAGCAAAGAAGAACAUAUAUUAAUGUCAUAAAGUAUCAUAAUAUCAUGUUCAUAAGCAUCAAGCUAGUUUCAUAAAUUAUGAACAAGACUUAAAUAAUGUGAUUUACAAAGAGCCAUCAACUUAAGUUUAUUCGUAGGAGAAUAACUAUUGUCUAGUUUUAAAGAACAAGACCAAUAGUCAAGUUACUUACAAUAACCUAGUAAUGUAAUAUCAAGUUUCAAUUAAAAGCAAGACCAGCAAGCUUCUUAUGUAAACAAUUGUUUCUAUGUUUCAAUUUGGAAUGUCACAGUUACUAAUUCCUUAAAGUCAAAUAAUCUAGCAUCAAAUUUAGAAUGAGAUCAUUUAACCAAAAGAAUAGUCUAAUCUAGUUGAAUUGUAUCAUCAAGUUUAGAAUGACACAAGUUUCCUCGAUAGAACAUUUGAAUUAUGUUAAAAUCAUCUUCAUCAAAUUUGGAAUGAGACAACUCAUCAUCUUCAAAUUAGUCAGCAACUGUGAACAUCGAUGAAACAUAUAAACUGUGCUUAUCAUUGUAGCCAAUAAAGAAAGAUCCGAUAAUUCAAAACACACAAAAAGAAGGUAAGUAAAUGGUAGUUAAGACUUGUCUAUAUAGUCUUUAACCCCAAUUCCCCUACUGUUUUAAAUAAUCGAUCUUUAGGCAUAUCUUUGGUGAGAGUAUCAACUAUGUUAUCAUUCGAUCUCACAUCGAUCAAGGUGAUAACCCUUUGUUCUCUCAGAUAAUUCAAUAACGCAUGUCUCAGUCUCACAUGUCUUCUCUUUGAAUUAAAGAGAGCAUUCUUGAUGACUUGGACAGCUGCUUGAUUAUCAUAGAAUAGGCUUAAAGAAUUAAUCUUUAGCCGAGUCAAAGGAAUAUCCAUAAUCAAAUUCUUAAUCUACUCUACAUCUUCACCGGCUGAUGCUAAAGCAAAAAAUUCCGAUUCCAUAGACGACAAUGCAAUACAAGUCUGUCGUUUGGAUUUCCAAGUAAUAGCAGCUCCACCCAAAGUAAAUACAUAUCUACUAGUGGACUUACUAUUUCCAAUAUCUGAGCACCAUGAGGCAUCAGAACAUCCAUCCACAAUUGGAGGAUAACUAAAAUAAUAGAGAGCAUAAUCUUUAAUACAUUUAAGAUAUCUCAUUAGUUUAUUGAGGGCAUCCCAAUGCUUUUUACUAGGAUUACUAGUAAAACGACUCAGCAUGCCAACUGUAAAAGCUAUGUCAAGUCUAGUGUAACUCAUAGCAUACAUGAGACUACCAAGUAGUUUCGAGUACUUUAACUGAUCCACGUUGGUCCCUUCAUUGGAAUUCAGUCUGAUAUUAUAAUUACAUGGUAUCUCACUCGGUUUACACUUAUCGUAUCCCCAAGUAGAAAGUAGCUGCUCAAUAUAAUGAGUCUGGCUAAGGGAGAUGACUUGCCGUUUAAAGCUUACUUUCAUACCAAGAAUGGUAUUAGCAAUACCAAGAUCUUUCAUGUCAAAUUCUUUAGCUAAAGUAGCUUUCAUGUCACUCACUACAGAAUGAUUGGAACUAAGAAUUAACAUGUCAUCAACAUACAAGCAAAUGAUGACUAUCUUAUUUGACAUAGAACGAUGGUAAAUGUAUUUAUCUGAAUAAUUAGACUGAAAGCCAUAACUCUUUACUAUUUUCUCUUUACCACUUUGUCAAAUUUAAGAUGCCGCAUCUUAGGUGCUUAUUUAAAACUAUACAAGGAUUUAUUCAAUUUACAAAUUUUAUCUUCAAGACCUUUCAUAACAUAUCCUUCCGGUUAUUCCAUGUAAAUUUCCUCAUUUAAAUCCCAAUUUAAAAAAGCUGUUUUUACAUCCAUUUGAUGUACUACAAAGUGUUCAAUAGAUGCCAAAGCAAGAAGAAUUCUUAUAGUUGAUAGAUGACACACAGGUGAAUAGACAUCAAAAUAGUCUAUUCCACUAUGUUGUUUAUAGUCUUUAGCUACUAAACGUGCUUUGUAUUUGGCUAUUGAUCCAUCACUAUUCAGUUUCUUCUUCAACACCCAUUUACAGCCUAUAGCUUUAGCCCCUUUGGGCAAAUUUACUAGCUGGCAAGUGUGAUUCUGCAGCAGAGAGCUCAUUUCAUCAUCUAUGGCUUCUGCCCAUAGUGGAGAUUCCCUAGAUCUCAUUGUUUCCUGAUAGGAGAAUGGAUUAUCCUCAAGAUGGUAAGCAACAAAGUCCUCACCAAAAAUUUUGUAAAUUCUCUCUCUUGUAGAUACUCUAACUGGAAUUGGUUUAAUAGCCAAUUGUGUGGGAUUAGUGUCAGAAGGGCCUAUUUCAAAUUCUACAAGAGAUUCUGAAAUCAUAUCUAUAGAUCCAGAAACAUUCAAGCCUUGAUCUCUAAGAAACUUGUUUUCGAAGAACACUGCAUCUCUAGAUUAUAUCACUGUGUUAGUAGAUAGAUCUAAAAACCUAUUUGCAGUGUUAUCUUCUACACUACCUAGAUAUACACAAGUAAUGGUUCUAGAUCCCACCUUAAAUUUCUUAGGAUCUGGUAUACUUACAUAAGCAAUACAGCCCUAAAUCUUAAGAGUAUCAUAUCUACAAGGGUGUGGUAACCUAUUCAAGAUGUGAUUAGUAGUUAGAACUGCUUCUCCCUAGUAGGAGGAAGGCAUGCCAGCUGUAAGUAACAUAGAGUUUAACAUUUCAGUUAACGUUCUAUUCUUACGCUCGGCAACAUCAUUUGAUUGGGGUAAAUAAGGAGCAGUGGUUUCAAGUAUUAUACAUUUUGAAGCAUAAAAUUCCUUGAACCUUGACAUAGUAUAUUAUCCUCCUCUAUCACUCCUAAAUCUCUUAAUUUUCAAGUUGAGUUGAUUUUCUACUCUAGACUUGAAAAUCUUAAAUUUUUCAAAAGCCUCAUAUUUCGAUUUCAACAAAUACACAUGACAAUAUCUAGAAAAAUCGUCUAUGAAUGUUAUUGGAUACUUCCGACCAUCUUUGGUAAUGUAAUUUCUAAAGUCACAAAUAUCAGAAUGUAUUAACUCAAGAAAUUGUGUACUUUUAGAAACCAACUUAAAGGGUUUUCUAGUGAUUUUAGCCUAUGCACAUACUUCACACUUGUCAAAUCGAAUAGAAUUAUCUAAUGGAAUGUUGUGAGUUUUAGCUAGAUGUUGCAUUUUCCUAUAAUUCACAUGUCUAAGUCUAUUGUGUAGCAACUUUGGAUCAAUCAAAGUAGAAUUCACAUGGUUUAUGCUAUCAGCAUUUAAAAUCAAUCUAUACAUACCAUUAACCAUGAAUGCACAACCGAAAUAAUAUGAGUUAAUAGAUAAAGUUACUCUACUAUUCAUAGUUGAAAAAGACAUACCGGCUUUAUCAAGUAAACUCAUAGAUAUCAAAUUCUUUUUAAGUAAAGGUAUUACUCUAACAUGUUUUAGAGUUAGUAAUUUACCUGAAGAAAGCACCAAAUUUGCAGUUCCAACAUGAGUCACAUUUGCCUCACCACCAUUGCAAUUUUCUACUGUGUCUUUCACUUCUGUGACCUCAUUAAGUAAGUUCUUGUCAUUUGUAGCAUGACAAGUAGCGCCACUAUCCAACCACCACUUAGAAGAGACGUUGGCCUUUCCAUUCUUCAUCAUUCCAAUGAAGGCUCGAGGCUCAGAUUCUCUAAUUAGCAUAUUGGCCUCAUUUUGUGGUGUGUCAUUAUUUGGCUUCUUCGGCAAUUUACACUCUGCUGCCCAGUGAUCCCACUUUCCACAAUUAUGGCACUUGCCAUUCUUCUUCUUUUUGAAGAGUCUUUUUGGUCUCUAACUGUAAAGAUGAUUCACCUUUUGGUGACUUGGACUUUUUUUUAGGUUUAUUGGAGUGUGAAACUAAGUUGGCAACUGACUUUUGUUGUCCCACUUGUUCCAAACUCUUCAUAGUAAUAUUUUGAUCCUCGAUGUGAAUAUACCUCUUUAAUUCAUCCAGUCCCAUUUGUACCUUUAGCCUGUGCAUUUCAAUCUUGAAAGAACUCCAUUUAGUUAGUAGUUUGCUCAACACAAGACCGACAAAGAGAUUAUCGGACAUAUCAGAGUUAUCAUAUUUCAGCUUGUUCCUCAUGUUCUCAAAUUCAAUUAACUGAGAUGUGAUGCUUGAAUUUAUAGUGAAUUUAAAGUCAAAAAAUUUCUCUGCUAGAAGAGUUUUAGAGAGCCUCUCUUGUUUUUGGAACUAAGCGUUCAAGUGAUCCCAUAUCUCUUUCGCCGUCUUAUACUUACUAUAAGUCAUAGCUAGAUUAGGAUUUAGAGAGUUCUACAAGUAAUCUCUACAAAAAUCAUCAUCUUUGUUCCAUUGAUAUUCAUUCACAUUUUCAGUGGUAGAUGCAAAAUCACUUAAUACAGUAUAGAAUAUGUCACGUUCUUUCAUGCCAAAUUGAACAUGUAAUUUUCAGUCCUGAAAUUCAGUAACAUCAAAUGAUUGCAGUUUUAUAAUAUCAUAGAAACUAUGCUUUGCCAUUUUAAUCAUAGCAAAGUGUUAGAAAGAGUGCACCUUGGAGUCCUUGGAGCCACAACUUUGAUCAAAUUGCUCUGUAGUGAUGGAAUUUGCCAAAACAAACCCCAAAAACGGAUUUGGAGCACCUAAAAAGCUUAAGAUAGACUGCCCUUGUCCCUGAAACUCUCUAGAAAUUUCCAUCCCCGAAAUUCGCUGGAAAUUUCGUCUCCGAAAUUCGCUAGAAGUUUAGAUGGAAACUUCCGGGUGCCGUAACUUCUCCGUCCGACCUCCGAUUGACGCAAGUGACCACUCAAAACGUUUAUAUCGACGAGUAGAUCAAAGCCCAAGUGGUUUCACCCUCUAAAAUUGGCUAUAAUUUUUGGGUUUUUGAAUCAAAGAUUUCGAUCACCCGAAUCUUCAAACUCAGAUCCCGGCCAAUACCACCGUCGAAAUCGAAAGUAAAUUAUAGCCACGAGUUUGUCUUGACGAAAUUUUCAAGAAGACUUUUUACUCGCUCAAAUCCGACACACGAACCUAAUACUUCAAGAUUGUUGGAGGUAAUAGGUUUAAGAGAGAAGAAGCGGUUACUUGAAGUAUUACACCAAGAGACAUCAAGUUUGGAACGUUCAACAGUGUUACUUCCAGCGUAAGGAAACUCUAGAGUUUUUAAAUGCAAGUUAUUGGGCUCCGGCCAUAUAGGCCCAAAUAACUAUGCUUUUACCUAUUAGGCUUGUAUGUGAACAUAUUAUUUUGGACUAUAUUAAUAAUAUAUCCAACAAUGUACUGCCAAAGAAAGGCGCCCUACCGGUGGCCACGAUGGUUGCGAGUUAGAUCCUUGCUUGCCUCUCUUUAUUAUGCCUUGGCUUGAUGAGGGAUGCUAGGCCAUCUUCCGAUGGUUGGGCGAGGGCACCAUCAUCAUGUUGCCUCGCCGGCCCUCAUUUGCCACUCUCACCCUCGUGCAUGCACUCAUAGAUGCAAAGUCGUAGGAGGUUGGCAUUAUUUUCCUAGUUUAUUUUUAAUUAUCAAGCAUUAUAAACACUUGCCAUGUAAAAAUGUUUCUUCUUGGCCAUAAAUCUUGGACGAUUUUGCUUCCAACCAUACUGAGCAUCUCAAUGCUUGUAUUUCGAUGAUUUGAACUUCCGAAAAUUUAAAUGAUCAUAUUCGACCUGCAGAAAGGAGAAAUGCUACUUGUAGAUAGUGGAUAGUCAGACUAUGGCGGGAUUAAUUCCAAAUUAAAUAUCUAUAAAUCAGCUUGCCUAUACAAUUUACGAUGUAGCAUUUUGCUGUCAUAUUCAUACUUCGCCCAAAAAUAAAAUAACAAUGAAGAGGCUUGAAAAGGUGGUGAUUGUUAAUGGAUGGAUUCUCGACAAAAAAUGAAAUUAGCCACUUAGCCAUUGGUGCCAAGAAUCCCCUUUAGCUUCUUAACCUGGGCAUCAAGGAAAGUGGUGGCCUCCACCAACUCAGAAGGAAAAUUAUUGGCGAACAGAGCAAAGCCCAGGACUCGGACUGCUAAAGCUGACUGUGGCAAGUGCUGGACCUUUACCAGCAUUCAAUUGAAGUGCAAUAGCCCCUGUGGGUAUGCUAUCCCCUUUGUUGAGGUCCUUCAAGAAGAUGGUGUUUGCCCAUGACGAGAUGAACCCGGCACAAAUUUGCCCUCAGAGGAUGAUGAGGACCUCCGUGUCGCCUGGGUGCGUGUGCAUUGGGAUGACCCUGCUGGGGGCCAUAUUGAAAUUAAUGGUUGCAACCAAUCUAUAUCGUAAAUGAUAGAGGCUGAAUAGUUGUUGAACAUAUUCAUUACUUAUCUCAAAAGUGGCAAAGAAGGUCCAAUCCAUACGGGAAUGUUUAUAAGUUCUAUCUUGCAAGUUUACUUAACUACAUUGGAGCACUACACCACCAAUAAACCAAUGAGUACAUAACAUUACUUGUCACUCACGUUACUUCUCUAUCUCUAAUUGAAUGAAUCUCUUUUCAUGUCAAUAUAAAAACAUUUUUCUCAUAAAUUUUCCAUUGGAGUAGUACACAAAUAAAAGUUCUUUCGUUGAUGCCUGAAUUUUUGUCGGCAAAUCGAACACGCAUUUUUUUGUGAAAAUAAGAAGUAUAUGAAAAUAGUAAAAAAAUACUAAAUAAAAUUUGGGCCCAUCUCACUGCAGCCUCGCUUCCACAUAUUCGUAUCUUAUACACGUCUGCAUUCGGCGGGGUAGAAUAGAACAGAGAGGACACACAUACACAGAGCUCAGCCAAUUCUAUCUCGCCUCAUCAUUUUCCAGCAGCUUCUAGGUCGCCAUUCCCUCUUCAUACUCAGCCCCCUCCACUCCACCAGUAGCCGCUGCUCGUCUCCAAUCGCCGACCACCAUGGUCUCUUUGCAUUUGAACCUCAGAGAAUAAAGCAGCGAGUAGAGGGAAGGAAUUCUCAUGUUCAGUUGUAAUUCUCUCUCGAUUUCCUCUAUGCAUUCUUACCUCUCUCUCUGUCACCAAUUGUCGUCGCAGGCCACUUCCCCAACACUACCAGCUUUGCAGCCACGGGAAGUGCUCUGUUCGCUUCCGUUUUCUAGCCAACUUCAUCGAAGUGCUUGAUUAUCCUUCUCCCUCCUUUAGCCUGUUCCAGUCUUUGGUGCUACAAUUCCUGAAGCUUCACUCCUCUCAUUUGAUUACCAAUCGCAGUUAUCUAUUACUCUUCGUCAAGGUAAAUCCACAGACUCUGUUUCUGUUGAAGGUAAAGAC
rnacentral:lncRNA from 1 species